rnacentral:rRNA from 1 species
UUAAGCGACUAAGCGUACACGGUGGAUGCCCUGGCAGUCAGAGGCGAUGAAGGGCGUGCUAAUCUGCGAUAAGCGCCGGUAAGGUGAUAUGAACCGUUAUAACCGGCGAUACCCGAAUGGGGAAACCCAGUGUGACUCGUCACACUAUCAUUAACUGAAUCCAUAGGUUAAUGAGGCGAACCGGGGGAACUGAAACAUCUAAGUACCCCGAGGAAAAGAAAUCAACCGAGAUUCCCCCAGUAGCGGCGAGCGAACGGGGAGGAGCCCAGAGCCUGAAUCAGCAUGUGUGUUAGUGGAAGCGUCUGGAAAGGCGCGCGAUACAGGGUGACAGCCCCGUACACAAAAGCGCAUGUGCUGUGAGCUCGAUGAGUAGGGCGGGACACGUGGUAUCCUGUCUGAAUAUGGGGGGACCAUCCUCCAAGGCUAAAUACUCCUGACUGACCGAUAGUGAACCAGUACCGUGAGGGAAAGGCGAAAAGAACCCCGGCGAGGGGAGUGAAAAAGAACCUGAAACCGUGUACGUACAAGCAGUGGGAGCCCCACCACCAAAGCAUUCUCUGGUGUUGAAGGCCCUGCAAAGCAGCAUCGCGGUGGCGGAGCGUCGUUUGCGACGCCCAACACACAAAACAAGCGGUGAGUGCUUUGGGGUGGGGUGACUGCGUACCUUUUGUAUAAUGGGUCAGCGACUUAUAUUCUGUAGCAAGGUUAACCGUAUAGGGGAGCCGGAGGGAAACCGAGUCUUAACCGGGCGUUAAGUUGCAGGGUAUAGACCCGAAACCCGGUGAUCUAGCCAUGGGCAGGUGAAGGUUGGGUAACACUAACUGGAGGACCGAACCGACUAAUGUUGAAAAAUUAGCGGAUGACCUGUGGCUGGGGGGUGAAAGGCCAAUCAAACCGGGAGAUAGCUGGUUCUCCCCGAAAGCUAUUUAGGUAGCGCCUCGUGAACUCAUCUCCGGGGGGUAGAGCACUGUUUCGGCUAGGGGGCCAUCCCGGCUUACCAACCCGAUGCAAACUGCGAAUACCGGAGAAUGUUAUCACGGGAGACACACGGCGGGGUGCUAACGUCCGUCGUGAAGAGGGAAACAACCCAGACCGCCAGCUAAGGUCCCCAAAGUCAUGGUUAAGUGGGAAACGAUGUGGGAAGGCCCAGACAGCCAGGAUGUUGGCUUAGAAGCAGCCAUCAUUUAAAGAAAGCGUAAUAGCUCACUGGUCGAGUCGGCCUGCGCGGAAGAUGUAACGGGGCUAAACCAUGCACCGAAGCUGCGGCAGCGACACUCAGGUGUUGUUGGGUAGGGGAGCGUUCUGUAAGCCUGCGAAGGUGGCCUGUGAGGGUUGCUGGAGGUAUCAGAAGUGCGAAUGCUGACAUAAGUAACGAUAAAGCGGGUGAAAAGCCCGCUCGCCGGAAGACCAAGGGUUCCUGUCCAACGUUAAUCGGGGCAGGGUGAGUCGACCCCUAAGGCGAGGCCGAAAGGCGUAGUCGAUGGGAAACGGGUUAAUAUUCCCGUACUUGGUGUUACUGCGAAGGGGGGACGGAGAAGGCUAUGUUGGCCGGGCGACGGUUGUCCCGGUUUAAGCGUGUAGGCUGGUUUUCCAGGCAAAUCCGGAAAAUCAAGGCUGAGGCGUGAUGACGAGGCACUACGGUGCUGAAGCAACAAAUGCCCUGCUUCCAGGAAAAGCCUCUAAGCAUCAGGUAACAUCAAAUCGUACCCCAAACCGACACAGGUGGUCAGGUAGAGAAUACCAAGGCGCUUGAGAGAACUCGGGUGAAGGAACUAGGCAAAAUGGUGCCGUAACUUCGGGAGAAGGCACGCUGACACGUAGGUGAAGUGAUUUACUCAUGGAGCUGAAGUCAGUCGAAGAUACCAGCUGGCUGCAACUGUUUAUUAAAACACAGCACUGUGCAAACACGAAAGUGGACGUAUACGGUGUGACGCCUGCCCGGUGCCGGAAGGUUAAUUGAUGGGGUCAGCGCAAGCGAAGCUCCUGAUCGAAGCCCCGGUAAACGGCGGCCGUAACUAUAACGGUCCUAAGGUAGCGAAAUUCCUUGUCGGGUAAGUUCCGACCUGCACGAAUGGCGUAAUGAUGGCCAGGCUGUCUCCACCCGAGACUCAGUGAAAUUGAACUCGCUGUGAAGAUGCAGUGUACCCGCGGCAAGACGGAAAGACCCCGUGAACCUUUACUAUAGCUUGACACUGAACAUUGAGCCUUGAUGUGUAGGAUAGGUGGGAGGCUUUGAAGUGUGGACGCCAGUCUGCAUGGAGCCGACCUUGAAAUACCACCCUUUAAUGUUUGAUGUUCUAACGUGGACCCGUAAUCCGGGUUGCGGACAGUGUCUGGUGGGUAGUUUGACUGGGGCGGUCUCCUCCUAAAAGAGUAACGGAGGAGCACGAAGGUUGGCUAAUCCUGGUCGGACAUCAGGAGGUUAGUGCAAUGGCAUAAGCCAGCUUGACUGCGAGCGUGACGGCGCGAGCAGGUGCGAAAGCAGGUCAUAGUGAUCCGGUGGUUCUGAAUGGAAGGGCCAUCGCUCAACGGAUAAAAGGUACUCCGGGGAUAACAGGCUGAUACCGCCCAAGAGUUCAUAUCGACGGCGGUGUUUGGCACCUCGAUGUCGGCUCAUCACAUCCUGGGGCUGAAGUAGGUCCCAAGGGUAUGGCUGUUCGCCAUUUAAAGUGGUACGCGAGCUGGGUUUAGAACGUCGUGAGACAGUUCGGUCCCUAUCUGCCGUGGGCGCUGGAGAACUGAGGGGGGCUGCUCCUAGUACGAGAGGACCGGAGUGAACGCAUCACUGGUGUUCGGGUUGUCAUGCCAAUGGCACUGCCCGGUAGCUAAAUGCGGAAGAGAUAAGUGCUGAAAGCAUCUAAGCACGAAACUUGCCCCGAGAUGAGUUCUCCCUGAGACUUAAAGUCUCCUGAAGGAACGUUGAAGACGACGACGUUGAUAGGCCGGGUGUGUAAGCGCAGCGAUGCGUUGAGCUAACCGGUACUAAUGAACCGUGAGGCUUAACCUU